AUUGAACGCUGGCGGCAUGCCUAACACAUGCAAGUCGAACGGCAGCACAGCAGUAGCAAUACUGUGGGUGGCGAGUGGCGGACGGGUGAGGAAUACGUCGGAAUCUGCCCAGUCGUGGGGGAUAACUAGCCGAAAGGUUAGCUAAUACCGCAUACGACCGAGAGGUGAAAGCGGGGGACCGCAAGGCCUCGCGCGAUUGGAUGAGCCGACGUCGGAUUAGCUAGUUGGCGGGGUAAAGGCCCACCAAGGCGACGAUCCGUAGCUGGUCUGAGAGGAUGAUCAGCCACACUGGAACUGAGACACGGUCCAGACUCCUACGGGAGGCAGCAGUGGGGAAUUUUGGACAAUGGGCGGAAGCCUGAUCCAGCCAUGCCGCGUGAGUGAAGAAGGCCU
rnacentral:rRNA from 1 species